UAGAGUUUGAUCAUGGCUCAGGAUGAACGCUGGCGGCGUGCCUAACACAUGCAAGUCGAACGGAGAUUUGACGCUGAUGAAGCUUCGGCAGAAUCUUGUUAAAUCUUAGUGGCGGACGGGUGAGUAACGCGUGGGCAACCUGCCUCAUACUGGGGGAUAACAGCUGGAAACGACUGUUAAUACCGCAUAAGCGCACGGUGUCGCAUGACACAGUGUGAAAAACUCCGGUGGUAUGAGAUGGGCCCGCGUCAGAUUAGCCAGUUGGCGGGGCAACGGCCCACCAAGUCUGCGAUCAGUAGGGGUUCUGAGAGGAAGGUCCCCCACAUUGGAACUGAGACACGGUCCAAACUCCUACGGGAGGCAGCAGUGAGGAAUAUUGGUCAAUGGGCGGGAGCCUGAACCAGCCAAGUAGCGUGCAGGAUGACGGCCCUAUGGGUUGUAAACUGCUUUUGUAUGGGGAUAAAUUGCUCCACGAGUGGAGUAUUGCAGGUACCAUACGAAUAAGGACCGGCUAAUUCCGUGCCAGCAGCCGCGGUAAUACGGAAGGUCCGGGCGUUAUCCGGAUUUAUUGGGUUUAAAGGGAGCGUAGGCGGCUUAUCAAGCGUGCUGUGAAAUGCGGUGGCUCAACCACUGGAGUGCAGCGCGAACUGGUUUGCUUGAGUGCGCGGGACGAGGGCGGAAUUCGCGGUGUAGCGGUGAAAUGCUUAGAUAUCGCGAAGAACUCCGAUUGCGAAGGCAGCUCUCGGCAGCGCUACUGACGCUGAUGCUCGAAGGUGCGGGUAUCGAACAGGAUUAGAUACCCUGGUAGUCCGCACGGUAAACGAUGGGUGCCCGCUGUCCGGCCUUUUUGUCGGGUGGCCAAGAGAAAUCAUUAAGCAUCCCACCUGGGGAGUACGCCGGCAACGGUGAAACUCAAAGGAAUUGACGGGGGCCCGCACAAGCGGAGGAACAUGUGGUUUAAUUCGAUGAUACGCGAGGAACCUUACCCGGGCUUGAACUGCAGGUGAACGAUACAGAGAUGUUGAGGUCCUUCGGGACGCCUGUGGAGGUGCUGCAUGGUUGUCGUCAGCUCGUGCCGUGAGGUGUCGGCUUAAGUGCCAUAACGAGCGCAACCCCUGUUGCCAGUUGCCAUCAGGCAGUGCUGGGCACUCUGGUGAUACUGCCGCCGCAAGGUGGAGGAAGGUGGGGAUGACGUCAAAUCAGCACGGCCCUUACGUCCGGGGCUACACACGUGUUACAAUGGCGCGUACAGAGUGUUGGUUCACGGCGACGUGUGCCGGAUCUUGAAAACGCGUCUCAGUUCGGACCGGGGUCUGCAACCCGACCCCGCGAAGCUGGAUUCGCUAGUAAUCGCGCAUCAGCCAUGGCGCGGUGAAUACGUUCCCGGGCCUUGUACACACCGCCCGUCAAGCCAUGAAAGCCUGGGGCGCCUGAAGUCCGUGACCGCGAGGGUCGGCCUAGGGUGAGACAGGUGAUUGGGGCUAAGUCGUAACAAGGUAACCGUA
rnacentral:rRNA from 1 species